rnacentral:rRNA from 1 species
GAUGAACGCUAGCGGCAGGCCUAAUACAUGCAAGUCGAGGGGCAGUCCCGUUUUCGGACGGGAGCGACCGGCGCACGGGUGCGUAACGCGUAUGCAAUCUACCCACAACAGGGGGAUAGCCCGGAGAAAUUCGGAUUAAUACCCCAUAAUGCAUAUUUACCGCAUGGUAGAUAUAGCUAAAGCUUUCGAGUGGUUGUGGAUGGGCAUGCGUCUGAUUAGCUAGUUGGUGUGGUAACGGCACACCAAGGCAACGAUCAGUAGGGGGUCUGAGAGGAUGAUCCCCCACACUGGUACUGAGACACGGACCAGACUCCUACGGGAGGCAGCAGUAGGGAAUAUUGGGCAAUGGGCGAGAGCCUGACCCAGCCAUGCCGCGUGCAGGAUGAAGGCCUUCUGGGUUGUAAACUGCUUUUAUAAGGGAAGAAAACGUUCCUGCGGGAAUAAC